rnacentral:lncRNA from 1 species
UUUAAUUCCUAUUUUUGGAACUUUACUUUUCUGGCAAAAUGGAAUCUCUCUUUAUAAUAACCUUUGUUUGGGAUAAUUUUCUUUCUAGUUUUGAUGUGAUUUCAGGAGCCCACCCAAAGAACAGGGCAGAUAAAUGGAAAGUCAAGCAACAAGGUGAAGAAGUUGAAAGUCAAGCAACAAGGUGAAGAAGUUGAAAGUCAAGCAACAAGGUGAAGAAAUUGAAAGUUAACAAAUUGAAAAAUAGCAAAUCAG